rnacentral:rRNA from 1 species
UGGCGGACGGGUGAGUAACGCGUGGGUAACCUGCCUCAUACAGGGGGAUAACAGUUAGAAAUGACUGCUAAUACCGCAUAAGACCACAGCACCGCAUGGUGCAGGGGUAAAAACUCCGGUGGUAUGAGAUGGACCCGCGUCUGAUUAGGUAGUUGGUGGGGUAACGGCCUACCAAGCCGACGAUCAGUAGCCGACCUGAGAGGGUGACCGGCCACAUUGGGGCCGAGACACGGCCCAA